rnacentral:misc_RNA from 1 species
GGAAGGAUCAUUAAUGGGUAACGGCCUCGCGCCGCAAUCCCCACCCUUUGCAACCGCGGCCCGGAUUCGGCGCCUGGCGGGGACCCCCUCUGUUCGCGGAGGCCCCCCGCCUGCCGGAAUCAGCCAACCCUGCCUGGAAAACUGAAGUCUGAGAACAAGUUAAAUCAAACAAAACUUUCAACAACGGAUCUCUUGGUUCUGGCAACGAUGAAGAACGCAGCGAAAUGCGAUAAGUAAUGUGAAUUGCAGAAUUCAGUGAAUCAUCGAAUCUUUGAACGCACAUUGCGCCCCCUGGUAUUCCGGGGGGCACACCUGUUCGAGCGCCAUUUCUACCCUGGAGCCCUGCUCUGUGAUGGGCCCCGUCCUCGCGGACGGGCCCGAAACCCGUGGGCGCCGUCGUCCGGCCCUGAGCGUAGCAAGAGAAAUCCCUCGCUCGGUGAGUCGCACGGUGGCCGCCCCGACCUAUUCUUACAAGGUUGGCCUCGGAUCAGGUGGGGAUACCCGCUGAACUUAAGCAUAUCAAUAAGCGGAGGAAAAGAAACCAACAGGGAUUGCCUCAGUAACGGCGAGUGAAGCGGCAACAGCUCAAAUUUGAAAUCUGGCUCACGCCCGAGUUGUAAUUUGUAGAGGAUGCUUCGGGUGAAGCCGCGGUCCAAGUCCCUUGGAACAGGACGUCAUAGAGGGUGAGAACCCCGUACCUGGCCGCCGGUGCCCCCCGCUGUGAAGCUCCUUCGACGAGUCGAGUUGUUUGGGAAUGCAGCUCUAAAUUGGUGGUAAAUUCCAUCUAAAGCUAAAUACCGGCCAGAGACCGAUAGCGCACAAGUAGAGUGAUCGAAAGAUGAAAAGCACUUUGAAAAGAGAGUUAAAAAGUACGUGAAAUUGUUGAAAGGGAAGCGCUUGCGGCCAGACUUGCCCGCGGUUGCUCAGCCCGCCUUUUGGCGGGUGCACUCUUCCGCGGUCAGGCCAGCAUCGGUUUGGGCGGUCGGAUAAAGGCGUUGGGAACGUGGCCUCCCCUCGGGGAGGUGUUAUAGCCCGGCGCGCAAUGCGACCAGCCCGGACCGAGGUUCGCGCUUUGCUAGGAUGCUGGCGUAAUGGCCGUAAGCGGCCCGUCUUGAAACACGGACCAAGGAGUCUAACAUCUAUGCGAGUGUUUGGGUGUCAAACCCGUGCGCGUAAUGAAAGUGAACGGAGGUGGGAACCGCAAGGUGCACCAUCGACCGAUCCUGAUGUCUUCGGAAGGAUUUGAGUAAGAGCAUAGCUGUUGGGACCCGAAAGAUGGUGAACUAUGCGUGAAUAGGGUGAAGCCAGAGGAAACUCUGGUGGAGGCUCGCAGCGGUUCUGACGUGCAAAUCGAUCGUCAAAUUUGCGUAUAGGGGCGAAAGACUAAUCGAACCAUUUAGUAGCUGGUUCCUGC